GGGCAGCUUUCACACAGGGCCCAAACUGGUUUGCAGCUGGUCACUGUUCAGCACCCCCAGAGAGGCAUACUUGGUUUUGUGUUUUUGUGAAUUUAUUGGACUGGAAAGCACUUGAAUGAUUUGUAAUAAAUACAGAUGGUAGAACCUACUGUGGAGACUAGUAUGUCCAGAUGAGAGCAGCCAGAUGCCCUGGAGAAAAGAUGAGGAAACAGGCUUGCAAAGACAUAACUUGAAAGCGAUAGCUGAGACUCACACAUCCUGGCUCAAAUUAUCUUGCUCUUUGCACUGUACCAAACUGCAAUAAAACAUGGCCUACUUUA